GGUUGUAGCUCAGAGGUAGAGCACUUGCCUACCAUGCGUGAAGCACUGGGUUCGAUCCUCAGCACCA
rnacentral:tRNA from 1 species